CCUACGGUGUGCUGCAGUCGAGAAUCAUUCACAAUGGGGGAAACCCUGAUGGUGCGACGCCGCGUGGGGGAAUGAAGGUCUUCGGAUUGUAAACCCCUGUCAUGUGGGAGCAAAUUAAAAAGAUAGUACCACAAGAGGACGAGACGGCUAACUCUGUGCCAGCAGCCGCGGUAAUACAGAGGUCUCAAGCGUUGUUCGGAAUCACUGGGCGUAAAGCGUGCGUAGGCUGUUGCGUAAGUCGUGUGUGAAAGGCGCGGGCUCAACCCGCGGACGGCACAUGAUACUGCGAGACUAGAGUAAGGGAGGGGGAACCGGAAUUCUCGGUGUAGCAGUGAAAUGCGGAGACAUCGAGAGGAACACGCGUGGCGAAGGCGGGUUCCUGGACAUUAACUGACGCUGAGGCACGAAGGCCAGGGGAGCGAAAGGGAGUAGAUACCCCGGUAGUC
rnacentral:rRNA from 1 species